AGUAACGUAGACGAAGUUACGCUAAUACCGCAUAUUCUGUGAGCAGGAAAGCAGGGGGAUCGCAAGACCUUGCGCUGAUUGAGCGGCCGAUAUCAGAUUAGCUAGUUGGUGAGGUAAAGGCUCACCAAGGCGACGAUCUGUAGCGGGUCUGAGAGGAUGAUCCGCCACACUGGAACUGAGACACGGUCCAGACUCCUACGGGAGGCAGCAGUGGGGAAUUUUGGACAAUGGGCGCAAGCCUGAUCCAGCCAUGCCGCGUGAGUGAAGAAGGCCUUCGGGUUGUAAAGCUCUUUCGGCCGGGAAGAAAUCGCACAGGUUAAUACCCUGUGUGGAUGACGGUACCGGAAUAAGAAGCACCGGCUAACUACGUG
rnacentral:rRNA from 1 species